rnacentral:lncRNA from 1 species
UAGCUAGCUGUAGAUUUUUUUUCACCACUUGUACUCACCACAUGUAGGCCCAGUUUGCAAGAUUAUAUAUUUUUUUCCUUCAAGUUAUUGAUCCUUCUCCAUGUUGCAGCUCUAGUUCCAGCUUCAUGUUCUUUUCCUUAAAAAAUCAAUGUGUAAUUUUGCUUCAACCAUUCUUCUAAUCUAAGGAGUUUAGUUUCAUAUCACAUAUUAUUUAGUCACACAUUUGAUGCUCUAUAUGUUUGGUAAAGAUAUACAACCUUUUGCAACAUUAAUGUUCC